ensembl:lincRNA
UUGCUAAAGCUGUGAAAAAUGUGUCAUGCAUAAAAAGUAUGCAAUUUUCAUGUAAUUAGAGGAACACAAGAUGAAAAUGAGUUCCAUCAGAGCAAUCAAGGAUGGUAAUGUGAAGCUCUUCAACACAGCUACCUUUUGGGUUAUAUGCUCACCCUUAAACCAAUUACUGGGCUGUUUGGAAAGAGAGCACACACAUCAUAAAGAAGAGUUCAAGGUAAACCUAGACGAGUGAGUGGAUUUGAAGCCAUCAUAUCAUACAAUCAGAGAAUCUUAGGUUUUGAAUGAAAUGUGAAGAUAUAUUUCAAAUGAAUAAUUGGAAGAGUGAAUGAAAGAACUAAUGAAUCUAAUAGAAACUCUACUGAUUGCCUACAUACAAUGAUUGCCAUGAAUUGUUAUUUACUUUUUUAUGUAUACUAAUUAACACAUCUGCACCAUUCUCUCAGUGUGUGCAUAUCUUGUGUAUAGGAGGUAGUUAAGAAGUUCUCAGUAUAACUUUAUUAAAUUUACACCCUCAGAAAAUGUCUGCCAAAUGGGGAGAAAUGUGUAUUCAUUUUGCUUUCACCAACGAACUAGUAAAGACUUGCUGAAUGUUUCAUGAAUGAUAAAAGUGCAAGAUAAUAUAGGAUAAAAUGUAUACCAGGCAUAAACACUAAAGGUGAAAAAGAUCUGUAAAUUUAGAAAAACAUCAUCUGUACAAUAAGCAUCUUUUAGAGAGUCAUGAUGUCUCAUGGAGAGCUAUCUUUAUGGUUGAUAUAGUCCUAGUACAGACAAAAAAUUGUAUUUUCACAAAAUAAAAUGUGCAUUUCUAAUUUCAUUUACUUCGUUGUGUUCCUUUCAAUAUUUACCUUCCUAAAACACUCUAUACAUGAGAAUACAGUUGAAAAGUUGCUUAUUUGUCACACUCCCUUUCAUGGAUUCCAUGUCACUUUGUUGUUGUUGUUACUGUUUUAAGUCCCUCUGACUCCAUCUCCUUCAGCUCCAUCGGAAAGGUGGGCACUGUGUAAUAUUUUCUUUCCCAUCAGAGUAUACCUGAACUCUCUGAGGUCAAGACCAUUUUUGCUGUUGUUGUUCACACCAUGUUCUCGGGGCCCAUCCCAUGGUGGCCCUCACACAGGGCACGAUGACUACAUUGUAGAAGACCUGUGCUCCAGUGUGGAUCUUCCUCUUUAGAUCCAGACUUACUGAUGCACAGAUCAAUGCUCAGUGUGGAUAUCUUCAGGCUCCUCAAUCAGGACUUCCAAAGUACAGAUAAACAAACAAACAAACAAAAAUACAUCAUUUUCUACUCAGAAUAAACCCAAACAUCUUCCAUCACUGCAAGUAUGUUGACACUUUCUGAAUAGCGGCCCACCAUGUC